GGAGAGGUGGCCGAGCGGUCGAAGGCGCACGCCUGGAACGCGUGUAUGCGAGAAAUCGUAUCGAGGGCUCGAAUCCUCUCUCCGCCA
rnacentral:tRNA from 1 species